rnacentral:rRNA from 1 species
AUUGAACGCUGGCGGCAUGCCUAACACAUGCAAGUCGAACGGUAACAGCUCUAGCUUGCUAGAGGCUGACGAGUGGCGGACGGGUGCGUAACACGUAGGAAUCUACCUUAAAGUGGGGGAUAACUCGGGGAAACUCGAGCUAAUACCGCAUAAUCCCUAAGGGGGAAAGGCCGCUUGCGGUCGCUUUUAGAUGAGCCUGCGUCCGAUUAGUUUGUUGGUGGGGUAAAGGCCUACCAAGACUACGAUCGGUAGCUGGUCUGAGAGGAUGAUCAGCCACACUGGGACUGAGACACGGCCCAG